GGUCAAAUCAAAUCACGAAAACACCGGUUCUCGUUCGAUCACCGAAGUUAAGCAUCGUAGAGCCAGGUCAGUACUUAGAUGGGGGACCGCUUGGGAACACCUGGUACUGUAAG